rnacentral:rRNA from 1 species
UACGGGGGGGGCAAGCGUUGUUCGGAAUUACUGGGCGUAAAGGGCUCGUAGGCGGCCAACUAAGUCAGACGUGAAAUCCCCAGGCUCAACCUGGGAACUGCGUCUGAUACUGGAUGGCUUGAAUUCGGGAGAGGGAUGCAGAAUUCCAGGUGUAGCGGUGAAAUGCGUAGAUAUCGGGAGGAACACCAGUGGCGAAGGCGACUUCCUGGCCUGUUCUUGACGCUGAGGCGCGAAAGCUAGGGGAGCAAACGGG